rnacentral:lncRNA from 12 species
CAGUUUUCAAGUUCAGGAGAAGCUACAGACAACAGACUGAGUUUCAAUCAAUCUUUUCUUAUAGCCUUACAACAAGAUGGCCAUCAGAAGUUUGGAAGCAAUGCCUGUCCCCUUCCUUUUGUGGUGGAGUACAUGGAAGUUCACUACUAGACAAUGAAUUUCAAGAGGUUAGACAAGAACUGAGCAAGAUUUGUAGUUAAAAUAAAGAAAUACUGAGUAUUGGC